GCUUCACUCAAAUGUAAAGAGACUGAACUAAAUUCAGCUUAUACUGAAGAUCUUACUUUACCUCUCUUCUUUUUUCCCCAGAAUCUAAAAAUUUCUGUUGACAUCAUUGAACUUGUCAAAUUCUAACAAAACAGAAGCCAAAUCACAGAUUGUUUGGAGCAUGAAAUACACCUUUGUCUGUAUUAAUAUGCAUCACACUUAGAAGCUUGUAUAUGUCUCAAACGUCAGCAGGAUGGAAGAAGUUAGUGUUAUCCAGCAUUCCUGCUGAGUAUAUAACUUACUGCCACUUCUGAUCUUUGAAGAGAGAUUUAUCGCUUCCUGUGGCAAUACUGAAUUCUCAAAAGUUUCACUAGUACA
rnacentral:lncRNA from 1 species